ACACACCAUGCCAGGGUAAUCCUACACGAAACAUAGCCCUUAUUUUAGCCGUUUCUAAAAUCCCCUAUGGGAAGAAUCCAUUGUGGAAAAACGAUUGGAACCAUUUCCUUCUUUGACCGCUAGGUUGUAUGGGUAUUAUGACUCAUUCUGUGGUACUCUAUUUGGAUAUGCCAUACAAUUCUAUAGUCAUGUGAUCCACACAAUGUCCAUACGGGUGGAUUUGGGUAAAAUGCUGCUCGUGUUGAGAUCUGAUUUCGUGAAAUAACACUCAUACAAAUAAUUUAAAGAUUUAGAUAAGAAGAAUUGAAUGAAUCUGCGCAGCGCCCAGGGCGACGCACGUGAACAAGCAAAAAAGCUGCUGCUGGCCACCACCACCGCACGAGUCACGACACCGGGUUCUAACCAGGAAGAAAACAAAAUAGCACUUUGAUUGACAAGCCAACCCACGAAUGCAAGCAAUUAGUAACGGAUGGAAGCAACCAAUGAAACGUCUCUGGAACAAACAGAGGGUGAAUGAUAGAUAUGCCCCUGAUGUGUCGGGAACGGAUGUCCGUGCACGCCCCUAUCCACGUCGAGGGGCUGUGGUGGAGUGGGUCGAGAGCAUGGUCCAAACACACCAACACGGUCGUGAAGAAGGCACGACAACGCCUCUUCCCCCUCAAGAGGCUGAAAAGAUUUGGCAUGGGCCCUCAGAUCCUCAAAAAGUUAUACAGCUGCAUCAUUGAAAGCAUCUUGACUGGCUACAUCACCACUUCGUAUGGAAACUGCUUGGCAUCCGACUGCAAGGUGCUACAGAGGGUAGUGCGUACAGCCCAAUAAAUCACUGGGGACGAGCUCCCUGCCAUCCAGGACCUCUAUACCAGGUGGUGUCAGAGGAAGGCCCUAAAACUUGUCAGACUCCAGCCACCCAAGUCAUAGACUGUUUUCCCUGCUACCACAUGGGAAUCAGUACUGAUGCACCAAGUCUGGAACCAACAGGACCCUGUACAGCUUCUAUUCCCAAGCUAUAAUAAGACUGCCAAAUAGUUAAAUGAUUAACCAAAUAGCUAUCCGGAUAAUCUGCAUUGACCCUUUUUACACUAACUCUUUUGACUCAUCACAUGCACUGCUGCUACUGUUUAUUAUUUAUCCUGUUGCCUAGUCACUUUAUCCCUACCUAUAUAUACAUGCAGUAUCUACCUCGUACCCCUGCUCAUCAACUCAGUACUGGUACCCCGUGUAUAUGGCCAAGUUAUCGUUACUCAUUGUGUAUUUAUUCCUUGUGUUAUUAUUUUUCUGUUAUUUCUAUAUUUUUCUCUCUACAUUGUUGGGAAGGGCCUGUUAGUCCACACCUGUUUAUGAAGCAUGUGACAAAUAACAUUUGAUUUGAUUUUGAGGGGAUGGAGAAAGUAAAGAGCAAUCAUAUUUGGCAUGAGUAAGUUUGUCCUAUUGUAAGACCUCAACUCAUGUUGGUUCUGGGGAGAUGAAAUCAUCUUUUUACUUGUGGGUCUAGGUAAACCUAAAUGAAUUCAAUACAUGGACAUGUACUGUACAUGGACUUGUUGCUCUGCUGUUUUUGCUGCAGUUUGAACCUAGAAUAAUGUGAUUAUUUGGGCAGUUCUAAAGAGCACUUCUACACUGGAGUAAGAGGAUGAACUCUGAAGAAGUAUAUUUGUGUUUAUUCAAUCUACAGUAAAAAGGUCAUAAAUGUAUUUUCAUUAAUCAUACCCGCUAUUUCAAUAAUUUACAGAACAGUAUGUUAUGUUCAAGGUCAGGGUCUUCUAAGGAAGUCCCUUACUGGGAAGUAAGCGGUAGAUAAAAGUGUGUAAUAACAAAGAACUGUAAUAAAGAUGUCUAUUGAGACAGAAACAGAAGCCAUGAAUAAAUAUGGCAAAUUAUGAAAAGUGAUUGUUCAAAAUUGUCUUAUCCCACACCCUGUCCUUCUCUGUCUGUCCAUCUCUC